rnacentral:lncRNA from 1 species
CUGCCUCCAUCCCCAGGAUGCACAAAGCUAUUACCAGAUACUUCAUGUCACAUUAUCACCAGCCUUCCACUGCAGCUAAGAGCCAGCCCAGCCUUAACCAACCUCUCUCCCCUGCUCCCUCCAUACCAGUGAGUAUAGUUUUCCCUUCUCCCUGGUGAAUGGUGCUUAAGUCCUGCAUGCCAGGCUCCAGGUCUCAACUCAGUAGACCUACUGAUAAUUGUAGCUUCUACCUCUGUGGAGGGAGCAUUCACAGGGUUUUUGUUUUCAUUGUUCCAUGCAUCUAAACAGCACUUAGAAACCCGUUUGUGCAGCUGAUGAUAAUUAUGAUCAUGGUUAAGCAUAUUGUGGCUAUCAUCAUUGUCUCUCGGGCUGGGUGCCGACACAUUGUAAUGUGGGCCCUUCCUUCUUGUCAGCAUUCUAAUGAAUGGUGUUGACCUCUGAGUGUUGACCUGCCUGCCCCUCUCUCUGCUG